rnacentral:rRNA from 1 species
UACGAAGGGGGCUAGCGUUGUUCGGAAUCACUGGGCGUAAAGCGCACGUAGGCGGUUCGUUAUGUCGGAUGUGAAAGCCCUUGGCUUAACCGAGGAAGUGCAUCCGAAACUGGCGAGCUAGAGUACGAAAGAGGAUCGCGGAAUUCCCGGUGUAGAGGUGAAAUUCGUAGAUAUCGGGAGGAACACCGGUGGCGAAGGCGGCGAUCUGGGUCGAUACUGACGCUGAGGUGCGAAAGCGUGGGGAGCAAACAGG